GGGGGGCUGGGGCAGACUGGCCACGUGAUAUGCCUCCAGUGCUGGGGGGAGGGGCGCUGGUCAUGUGACAUGCCUCCUGUGCUGGGUGGGCGGGUAAGAACUGGUCAUGUGAUGUGCCUCUGGGGCUGGGCAAAGUCCCUCCUAAAUGGUUAUCAAGCCUGAGACCCUCGUUCUACUUAACGACGCCAUCUUUCCGUGUUUCUCGUGUUCAUAAACUCUGGGACAAGGCUCAGUAAACCCACGCUAUUUCUGGCCACGGAGGCCCAAAGGAGUUCUCAACCGGUUUUCUUUCUCUGGCACGUGAUCGUUCUAACUCCUUAGGGUUCUUAAUAAUAAAACCUGUGCCCUAGAGUAGCGCCACCGUGUGGCACGUGUCUCCGGGUGGCUGAAGGGUCAAGUCGUUUGUAAAAGUGGCAGAUCUCAUUGGCCUUUCAAAGGGAGCGCCCUGCCUGAGGGUGAAGGGCUCAUAUUAACCAACGCCCUGACCGCUGUUUACUCUGUAGUAGUGAUCCCUCUAAGUCACAUUUAGGGUGGUGAUUUCUGUCAUUCACACGUUCUUCUUGGUAAAGAAAAUCAGAGGCAUCUCGUUUGUCAUCUUGGGAAACACAGCGUGAUGAUGAAGGCUGUUGAUGCCCUCCAGGUUCUACCAGGGGAGGAGAGAGUGCCAGCUGAUGUCUCCUGACUGCUCCAGCCUUACGGAAGAGGGGGCUGAACUGCAGACAAGCUUAAAGUCUGACCCACGGAUGGAGAGCCGGGGGCGGGCGCUGGUGUGAGGUCAAACCACCUUCUUUCCAGGCUUUGAGGGCGCUGGGGCUCAGGUGAUGGGUGUCUCACUCAGCCAGGUCCCCUGCAUGGCCCCAGCCAUAUGCCAUGCACCAACGGGCACACAAAAUGUUUGUAAAAGAAGGCAGCAGGCAUGCACCAGGCCCUCCCGGCUGUGGGAACUCACCUGGGCUCUGUCACCGCCCGGCUACCCAAAUCCAAACUCAAGGUCUUUCUCCAGACCCAGCUAGCCUCCUUCCAUCCCGCCUGUGCCCACGGCGCUCGGUUCUGGAUUCCCCAAGUUCUAACGCAUGUGGGGGUCUCACCUCCACCCUGACCUUCCCACCCACUUCUCCCGAGCUUCUGCAGGCUUUUCUCUUCCUGCUUUCCAGUCACGUCCCUUCCCAGCACCGCCACCCAGCCAAGGCUGCCUCAGCCUUUGCCACAUCCUGCCAGCACUUCCUGUCACUGCCUGGCACGGAGGUGGGUAUACAUCCUGUGGUCCUUGCCUUUGGGCCCCUCUUCUGGUCGAUCUUGCCCGCUGCCCUGAGACGGUCAUGCUAAAGCCUGCCUUCCUCCGCUCAUGUCCACGCCCCAAACUUCCACUGGUCUGCACCGGUACUGUGAGGCCGAGAUCCCGAGUCCUGGGUCUAGGUCCCUCCAGGACCGGUCAGCAGUGACAGUGACUCUCCCAGCCGAUCAUCCCAUUCAGAUCAUCAAAGGCACGCACCUGACGGAAACACGCAAGGAAAAUCAAACCCGCUUCAUUUGCAGAUACCUUCACUCAACUGUGAGUAUAAUUACCUCCUAACUAAAGAGGGAGACGCAGAAUCCGAAGCAGGCUCCGGGCUCCGAGCUGUCAGCACAGAGCCCGACGCGGGGCUCGAACCCAUGAACUGCGAGCCCGUGACCCGAGCCGCCCAGGCGCCCCCUGAGCCCAACUUCUGUGCUCAGAUUAAGAGGCGACAAGUAUUUUCUUCCCUUCCUCCUGCGCCUCGCCUACAGUGUUCAAGGUACUCAUCACGGGACUGCUGAGUCAACAGACUUUACUACUACUUUCUGAAGACAGCCAUCUGAUCACGUAAACGUUUUCAGAAGUUCACGCACCUCCAGGGAGAAGCUGCCAAGUAUGUGGCAGAAAGCACUGUGUUUCCUGGGUCGGUUGUGCGUGAGGCUCCCGGGGCACCCGGUGUAUCGGGGAGCAAGCUAGGAACGGGGGAGACCGCUCUUGCCGGGGUUUGUUCCAGGCUGGACCCUCCUGCAGUUAACAUAACCGAGCACGGGCGGACCAGCUUUCACUCUGGAUGGGUCUCUGGGCUCCUGCUGUGUGCUGAGUCCUAUCAACUCAUGGGGAGGGGUGUGGCUCCUGGACAGUGGGGUGCAGGGGGCUUCAGGUCAGAGGUGUGACUGGCACUCGGCCCUGCCUCCCAUCAGCUGUGCGGACCGAGCGCUCAACGCGACCAACUCCGAGCCUCGGUUUCUUCACCCGCCAAGUGGGAAUAAUUGUAUCUAUUCUGUCUGGUUCACGUGAAGAUUCAGGCGCGUGGUGGGCCGUAGCUUUGUUUCUCGGAGGAAAGACAUUGGCAGAUAAAGAGAGACGCGUAUCUCAUCAACAAAAAGAUUCGGGGCUUCUGGGAUCAGCCAUGGCCCACUGACAGGUGCCAAUGCGGAAAACCAACGCUUUGUGGGACCUGCCGUGACCAGGACAGAUGUCCUCAGGGAAACUGCUCUUGGCACCUUGGAAUUUUGAGUCUACGCAGGCUUUUGUCCCAAAUACUCCUGUUGGGUGCUCCCCUCUGUCUGGGAAAGACCCUGACCGUGUUUCAGGCAAACUGCCAGGUGGUGGGACAAUUCUGGUUGUUUCUAUUGGGACCUGACUGCGAUGGGCUGAAGUCCACUUUGCUUUACUUCAAAUUGCGGCUGUCAGACCUGCCUUCUGGAGCAGAUGGCACACAGAGCUGACCACCGGAGGAAAAGCCAGCUUCCGACCCUCUCUCCCUGCACACGGCACAGCCGGGGACCUCUCCUACUGUGGUUGAUGUUUUCUGAAUAUACUUGUAAUGCCGCACAGUGAGCUAAGUAGGAGAGAAGAAAAGCUGACUCACAGACCUGUAGUUUAGAAAGGGGAAAACAGGAAGCAAAGACUUUCUUUCCGAAGGGUCCAAGGGAGAAUAUGGCAGGUUCAGGCACCACGAUUCUGUUGAUGGGAUGCUCCGUCAGAGUCGCCGCUUUGGUGACCCCGCAGCCUCCCGUCACCCACCCUCUCGGACACAGUUCAUCACAACCUGGGGAUGAAACACUCACCAGACUCAAGGACAGUUGAGGGAUAGUUAUGUCCUCCUUGCUUUUUCAUUUUUUUUUUAAUGAAAAAGUAACUUUUUUUGGUAAAAA